GUCAGGCCCUCGGCCUGGAGUGUAGGGGCUUUGGAAAUGCUGUGCUUCUUCCAAAUUUGGGCCCUGAGUUAGGGAGCGAGAAGCCGGGCGCGGGCCUGAGGGAGGUGUCUGAGAGUCCUUCAUGUGGGGAGGUUGGGAAGAAGAGAGAAAAAACUGGGGAGGGGACGCAGGAGGUAUAAAGGACAAAUCCGGAAAACCGAGGUCGCUCCUGGUCUCUGCAGAAAGGGCCGUGCCCCCUGCAGAGACCAGAAGAACCGAGGUGCCCUUAUCCAGGUGAGGAGCACGGAGACGUUAACAGAAAACCGCCGGGCUGACCAAGGCGGUGACUCACAUUCCUAUUCCUAGUGAUGGGGAUAAGAUCCGGGACCCUGCCCGCCCCCCACUUUGCCUCUUUACUUAAGUACAUGCCCUAGACUCCAGAGAGAACAUAGAUGCCUCUGAUUCCGACAGCGUCUGGGAAUGUGAAAGUCGCUGCCAGCGUUCCUCUUGUCCUCUCUAUGUUCCUGGCAGGAGUCAGACACGGGUCCACUGCAAGACACAUCUCAAGUACUCCAAGUAGUUCCAUUUUAUGUCCCUCUAACUCAGCUUGAGUUUUACCUGUAGAUGUAGAGGUCACAUUCUAAUGUACGACUAGUGCCAAAAACAUAGCUGUGUGUCCAGGAUGAAGAGUGACUGGUGUACUUCUAAGACUUCCUCUGGAAGUGAGGCCUGCCAGGAAAAUUGUUACUUGAGUUUAUUACAGGGAAUAAAACAGAAUGGGAAUAAUUUAAUUCAAAAAAAAACCUGGAGCUGAGCUGCGCCCUCCACAACUAAGAUUGAAAGGACAACAACUUGACUUGGAAAAAAGGCCUGGAAGUACACACUGUUCCCCAAUAAAGUCCUGCUCCCCUUCCCCAAUAAAAUCUUUAAAAAAAAAAAAGUAUAUUUGUUAAACUCAUGUAAUAUACACAUCCCCUAA